UACAAUAUGCAUUGGGCUAAAAAUGGAUUGGAUAUGGAUUGAUACUAAUAUAUUUGUAUCCAUAUCUAUUUUAUUUAAUAAAUAUAGUUAUGGAUAUUGAUAUUAGUCAGAUGCAAAUAUUUAUAUCCAUAUUUAUUUUAAAUGGGUAUUAUACAAAUCAGAUGCCAGAAGUAUGGAUAUAAAUACGGAUAUAAGUUGGAUGACUGAACUUUAUGAUCACAGAAUCAAAGAUAUUAUUAAGUAGAUGAUAAAUCAAGCUAAUAGCAUGUUAAUAUGAUUACUUAUUUAUCUUAAAAACUCAUGAAUGCUAUAUAAAAUCAAAUAGGAUUACAAAUGAGAUCGGAUAUUUGGAUAUGAAUUGGAUAGUUGUCUAUACAUAUUCAUGUCCAUUUUUUUUUAAUGGAUAUGGAUAUGAAUAUGAAUAUUAAUCUAUAGUUGAGUUCUUAGUUCUUAAACUAGGGUUUAGUUUGGAUGUAUAGAGUGGCUAUAUACAUACGUAUCUGUCAUGUAUGUGUCUUAUGUUCAUUUUUCCUUAUAAAGGGGUUUGUUUCUUAAUGGCUAUUUCUAUACAAUAGUUUAAUGGAUACUGAUAUGAAUAUGGAUAUUAAUCUAUAGUUGAGUUCUUACUUCUCAAACCAGGAUUCAGUUUGGAUGCAGAGAGUUGCUAUAUAUAUGUGUAUCUGUCAUGUAUUUCUUAUGUUCAUUUCUCCUUGUAAAGAGGUUUGUUUCUUAAUGGCUAUUUCUAUACAAUAGUUUGUACUUUGCUACAAUUAUUUCAAGUAAUACAGCUUCGGCUUUCUUUUUUACCAAAAAAAAAGGGAUAUCCGUCAAAUGCUCAAUUUUUUUUUCAUAUUUGGAUAGAUACGGAUGUAAAAAUGGAUCCAAAUAUGUAUUAUUCGAUCCACUAUCACUCUUAAAUUUGUGACAAAAAUUAGAUUUUAGUCCUCUUCCAGUACUAAAAACAUCUUAGUCAAUCACGUAUUGUCCAUGUACAUCUUGCAAUGGCAAGUGAUUGAUAGGCUGAAACAUGUACAUCAUGGUUUUGUCUAGUAACCUACCAUCAUCCAAUAUAUGUCUGGCCAG
rnacentral:lncRNA from 1 species